rnacentral:piRNA from 1 species
UGCAAGGAAAUGGAUGUCUAGGGUC